GACGAACCGUGCAAACGUUGUUCGGAAUUACUGGGCGUAAAGGGCUCGUAGGCGGCCAACUAAGUCAGACGUGAAAUCCCUCAGCUUAACUGGGGAACUGCGUCUGAUACUGGAUGGCUUGGAUUCGGGAGAGGAAUGCGGAAUUCCAGGUGUAGCGGUGAAAUGCGUAGAUAUCUGGAGGAACACCGGUGGCGAAGGCGGCAUUCUGGACCGAUAUUGACGCUGAGGAGCGAAAGCCUGGGGAGCAAACAGG
rnacentral:rRNA from 1 species